rnacentral:tRNA from 2 species
GCCCAUGUAGCUCAGUAGGUAGAGCACAUCCUUGGUAAGGAUGAGGUCACCAGUUCGAUCCUGGUCAUGGGCU